CCAGCCUAUUCUGAUAGAAAUGACUGAGGAAAUAAAUAAUUGGAGGGAGAGUGACAAGUUUUCUGUGCAGACUUCCAAAUAACUUAUGUAGAUCCCCUGCCCUUGAAGAGGGGAAGCACAGCUCCCCACUUUGGCCACGUGGGCUGCUCAUAAUGACUUCUUCCAAAAGGUAUGGAAAGGGGUAAGGCAGUUUUACAGUGGAGAAACCUGGCAGACACUGCUUCAGCCAGGUCAUCACGUUUAACCAUGCUCGGUUACGUUGACCCGAUGCACCCUUGAUGGGAUGGGAUGAAAGCGCUCGACCUCCAUCACAGGUGCAGUCUCCACUCAACCCACUAUGAGAAAAACAUCAAACUCCAAUUCUUCAGUGUUCCUGCCGGUCCUCCUCAGAACAGCCAAGGUCAAGGUCAUUCAACACAGGAAAGUCUGAGAAUCCAUCACCACCAAGAGGAGUCUAAGGAGAACUGAGGAUUGAGGGCCAUGGGGUGUCCCGGCUGGGGUCCGGGGUAGAGACGGAUUUUAGACGAUCUGCUGUGCAGAUCAUGAACCGUCGCCGCAGUGCCAGACAGACUCUUCAUCCGGACCGGCCGUCCCACUGGGUCCCCUCAGGAAAGCGCAGAAGCCGGGGACCCCAAACCGCGUCCAGCUCCUCCCACCCGCCCUUCUCGGAGCCGCGCACUUGGUAACUUGCGUGUGAAGAACUCACGGCCGUGUUGCCAGGAAACUGCGGGGAGCAGCCUUUGUGGUCUCACAUAUGCGUAACAUAAUAAUAAAUAACGGUUAACGUGAUAAUAAAUAAACAAAUAACAAUAAUUAUAACGUGCCCCAAGCCUGUUGUUUCUCCAAAAUUAAUUUAUGAUGAAUUACGACUCGAAUUCCUCGGAACAUACCAGUGGGAAGAGGAGAGGGGGCUAUUUUAUUUGCCACUGGGCUCAGAGUAGGGUUAAGAACUGUCUUUCCCUGAGCCAGACCUUGUCCCAGGUCCCUGGUAACCCAGGGAAGGUCGCCAGAGAGGAAUUCUCUCUUUCCCUCUGCUUCUCACAUCUCCUCCUCUGCCUAGGACAGUGAAGUUUUUUAGAUACUUUACUUGCAUUUCUAAUUCAGUUAUUCUUCUGAAAUUUAUUCAAAGGAUUUAUGCUUAU
rnacentral:lncRNA from 1 species